GAAAAAAAAGCGAAAGUACUGUGAUUCUAUAAAAGAACUGCUCUUCCUUUAAUUAACAUUUUCUCCAUCUUCUUUUCUAAAUGGUCUUCUAACCUAAACGAAUAUGAAUCUGGUUCGUUGGAAAGUUCAUUCUGUCAAAAAACCACUGUAUAAUAAUUGGAAGGGCGUACUCAUGACUUUGAGACUAUGUUCUAGCG